UUUUUUUUUUUUUUUUUUUUUUAGCUCUCUGCUUUCAUCCCAAGCCUGUUUGUUAAUAAUGAAGGUUCUGUUUCACCUCAGUGAAAAUUUCAAGCCUUGGUUAUCUUUGUUUCUUUGCCAAACAAUUGUCUUUUCCUCCCUUAGCUUCCAUAUUUAAAACUGGUAAGGAACUCGUCUUUGGGGAGCCAGUCUGCUCCUGUGACCACUGUCCAGAGGAAUUUUCUGGUAGCUGAGGAAGAGAGAACAUUGCUCAGGCAACUCCACUUCCUUCUAUCCACCUCUGUGCUGUCCAACUUGGGAGCUACUAGCUACAUGUGGCCAUUUAAAUGUAAAUGUGAAUUAAAGUUAAAUUAACUAAAAUUCAAAAUUUAGUUCUUCCAUCAUACUAGCCACUUGCCAACUGCUCAGUACACACAUUGGCAAGUGGCUGUGGUACCAACCGGACAGAGAAUAUUUCCACCAUCACAAUAAGUUCUUUUGGAUAUCAGGGCUGGCCAAUUGGUGCAUCUGUUUCAAAGUAGAAGGAGCUUGGGGUUGAGUCAUUCAAGGACUUCCCAGAAUGCGGUCUCCAUGUGUACCCCUGAAUGGUGAUCAGGUGCGGGGUAUGUAGAUCUGGCAGUGGGGAGGAGGGAACGGAAGAUCAUUUGGCACUUAUCCUUCUUUUACUGAUCUCUUACCUUCCAAAUAUUUUCCAUGCUACGUUUCUCAGCAAGUUGAAACGUUCCCCUCAAUAUGGGGCCUAAUUGCUAGCCCCUAUUUUUUUUUCUUAACUUUUAAUAAAGUAAAUUUGAUUUUACCAAAGAUCCCUCUGUGUUCAAAGAUUCCCACUCAUCAUUACUCGGGGUCCCAUGAAGAGAGAUGCAUGGUUGUAGGAGGCCCCUUCAGGGGAUGAAGAGUUUUGAUUAUUGCAGUGGUUUGCAGGGACAGAAAAACAUGUCAGGAUAAGGGCUGGUCAUUAGGGAUAGAUGGGAAGCAGUGGGAGAUGAGAGAUUGGAACUCACAAAUGUGCUCAAAAGCCCAUUGCGUGGAGGAACUACAAGAAAAGAGAACUCUUUAGAGGCCUCCUUUCAGUAUAGAAGUAAUUCACGCUGGAGAUAAUUAUCAAUGACAUUUAAAGGUCGUUUUUUAAAAUAGCCAUAGUUGCUUUCACUUCCAGAAGGCUGGGAUAACUUUUAGGAACAAUUAGAUAAAGAUGAACUCAUUCAAGGUGUGAAUAUUCAUGAGGGGCCGUAAUGCCUGUUUUGCCUUUACAGAAGUGAAUCUUCACCACUAAAAAUCAAGACCCUUGGCAAUGGAAGGAAAAGCAGGACCCCAUCCUCCCCUACCACCACCACUGAAAACAAUGACCUUGUCAAAUUGUAGCAUAAUACCUUGAAAAAGUAAGAAAAGAUCAUGGGGCAAUUUAAUCAUGAGGGUUGGGCAGGUAGAAAGAGAUGGAUUUCCUGUUCCAGGGAAGCCCCUGCCAAACCUGGAAGGGGUUAGCAAAGGGAGAGUUAUUUUUAAGACUUGCAAAGUUUGCAUUGGCUUAAAUAUAGUCCUUGCCUGGAGGCAGAGAAAAAAAAAACGGAUAAUAAAGGACCCACAUGUCAGGGAAAAAUCAGAAAUCAAAUAAAAGGUUUUGGGCGGGGAGGCUUUAUUUUCAGAGGGCAGUGUCCUGAACCAGAAAGCAGGAGACUUUUGCAAUUGGAUAUGUUAAUUAUGGAGCCUCAGAGAGGAGCUGGGGGUAGUGAGGCUGGAGGUAGCUCUGCCCUCCAGAGACAACAGUCAUAGCCAUUGAAAUGAACCACGGACAUUUACUCACUCUUACGUAAAGUGUGAACAAAGGCAUCAUUUAAAACAUUUUAGCAUUUUUUAUUGAUCUACAACAUAUCAUUU
ensembl:lncRNA